rnacentral:rRNA from 1 species
UACGUAGGGGGCAAGCGUUGUCCGGAUUUAUUGGGCGUAAAGAGCUCGUAGGCGGUUUCGUAAGUCGGGUGUGAAAACUCUAGGCUCAACCUAGAGACGCCACCCGAUACUGCGAUGACUAGAGUCCGGUAGGGGAGCGUGGAAUUCCUGGUGUAGCGGUGAAAUGCGCAGAUAUCAGGAGGAACACCAACGGCGAAGGCAGCACUCUGGGCCGGAACUGACGCUGAGGAGCGAAAGCGUGGGUAGCGAACAGG